UUCCGCCUCUAGAUUUGGGUUCAAAUUGAGUUCCACCGUACGCUAAACACAGGAAAUCAUAGCACUUGUUUUGGUUUCUAACAACUCUACUAACUCAUCGUUCUCUGAAGUCUGAACCCUAACGACGCUGGCGGCCGGAUCUACCACAUUUACUAAGAAAAGAUGAGUCGCUCAAGCAGAACGCUCUAUGUUGGGAAUCUUCCUGGGGAUAUUCGCGAACGGGAAGUGGAAGAUUUGUUUUACAAGUAUGGUCGAAUAGCCCGCAUUGAUUUGAAAGUCCCACCAAGGCCUCCGGGUUAUGCUUUUGUUGAGUUUGAAGAGUCCCGAGAUGCUGAAGAUGCAAUCAGGGGUCGUGAUGGGUAUGAUUUUGAUGGUCACAGAUUAAGGGUGGAACUUGCCCAUGGUGGACGUGGAAACUCAUCUUCUACAGAUCGUCAUAAUAGCCAUAGCAGUGGUCGGGGAGGCCAUGGCGGAGUUUCUAGACGAUCCGAUUAUAGAGUUUUGGUGACUGGGUUACCCUCUUCGGCGUCAUGGCAAGACCUUAAGGAUCACAUGCGUCGAGCUGGGGAUGUUUGUUUCUCCCAAGUUUUCAAGGAGGGUGGUGGUACCACAGGGAUUGUGGACUACACAAACUACGAUGACAUGAAAUAUGCUAUACGCAAAUUGGACGACUCAGAGUUUCGAAAUGCUUUCUCACGUGGAGUGAUACGUGUGAAGGAGUAUGAUUCCAGUCGGUCUAGGAGCCGUAGUCGCAGCCGUAGCAAGAGCUAUAGCCGUAGCCGCAGCAGGAGCAGAAGCAAGUCCCCAAAAGCAAAACCAUCUCGGCGCUCGAAAUCCCGUUCGAGGUCUCGGUCUCGUUCUCGUUCUGGAUCAGAACCCGCGCGCCCAUCAGCAAGAUAUGGAUAUGGAUAUGGAUAUGGAUAUAUACAGCUUGUCAGGGGAUUGCAUGUUAGGAUUGAUGGAUAUGGAUUGCAAUGAAAAGGCUGGAUUUUGAAUAGGGGAGUGGGGGCUAUUGCAUUGCAGUCAUGAUUUGUUUAAACAUAUUGGCAUGAUUCAUGAAUGAGAAGGCUACUGUUGGAUAAGAGGAACAUACAUUUGGAUGGAUGGAUAUUAUUAAACUCAGCUUGUUUCUGGAACUUUUGCAGAUCUCCUUCAAGAUCCAGAUCCCCCCCACCCUCUCGCCCAAAGCCUGCUGCUGCUACCAGUAAAAGUCCAAAAGGCAAGAGCAAGAGUAAGAGUCCAAGCAGAAGCAGAAGCAGGAGCAGGAGCAAGAGUUUAUCAAGGUAUG